GUGUGUGUGUGUGUGUGUUUUAGGCCUCUACAGAGUGUACUUAACGCAAUUUUCCUAGGAUUUUCUUUGGAAUAUGGUUCCUAAGGACCAGUAUUUUUGGAAAAGCUUUAUUAUUUAUUUUUUAUAUAUAUGAGGGACAUUGCACAAAACUAAUAAAGGAAUUUUUUUUCCUUCUUUAGUUUUUCUUUCCCCUAUUUUAACACUUGAAUUUCCAACCUGUUUUUGUUGGUGUUAAUGCUUAUUUAUUUAAGUGAUCUUACAGUUCUCUUUAGAUUUCAUCUUCUAAGCUGUAAUCUUAUAACUUUUAUUUGUUAAUUUCUAUUCAGGAUUUAUGGUAAUGCAGAUUUAAAACCCAGUAAAAUCAAAUGUGAAUUUUCACAAGAACUUCUAUUUAACUGCUGUACUUGUUCAAGAAUUAGUAGGGAACUAGAACAAAUUUGUUCAAUAAAGGAAAUAGGAUUUGGGUGUAAUAACAUGCCCAUGGUUGACAUUGUUAUAGUAUUUCAUUCAUUCUCUAUUCAUACCCCUCUUCAGCUUCUCUUCUGCAAUUAUUUUAAUAAUAAGAACAAUGAAACUUUAUUAUUAUUGAUGGUACUUGGUUCCAAUACUGUGUCUACAUUGGAUCACCCAUCAUGAGGACAAUUUUGUUGGCGGAUGCUCCAGCGAUUUCUUCUCCUUGAUGGUGCAUAUUGGUCAUAUUCAACACGACACUUUUGCCAGCUAAAAAAUAAAAAACAAACAUUAAAGCAUAAAUAAAAAAUCAGUUCUAAAUGAAUUUCCUUGAAAAUCUUGUCUGAAUGGUUUGUGCAAGUGCUUUUUAUUGCGUAGAUUUUCAAUUUAAAGUAUUUGUGAAUAGGUUUCCUAAGAUCUAAUUGAACUUUCUCAAGUGGCUUCAUAAGUUUAUACUAUUUUAUUACUUAUCUUACAACUUCUUUUUGUACAUGAAGCCUAUGGCA
rnacentral:misc_RNA from 1 species